UACGGGGGGGGCAAGCGUUGUUCGGAAUUACUGGGCGUAAAGGGCUCGUAGGCGGCCAACUAAGUCAGACGUGAAAUCCCCAGGCUCAACCUGGGAACUGCGUCUGAUACUGGAUGGCUUGAAUUCGGGAGAGGGAUGCAGAAUUCCAGGUGUAGCGGUGAAAUGCGUAGAUAUCUGGAGGAAUACCGGUGGCGAAGGCGGCAUCCUGGACCGACAUUGACGCUGAGGAGCGAAAGCUAGGGGAGCAAACGGG
rnacentral:rRNA from 1 species